GAUGAACGCUGGCGGCGUGCCUAAUACAUGCAAGUCGAGCGAACGGACGAGAAGCUUGCUUCUCUGAUGUUAGCGGCGGACGGGUGAGUAACACGUGGAUAACCUACCUAUAAGACUGGGAUAACUUCGGGAAACCGGAGCUAAUACCGGAUGAUAUUUUGAACCGCAUGGUUCAAAAGUGAAAGACGGUCUUGCUGUCACUUAUAGAUGGAUCCGCGCUGCAUUAGCUAGUUGGUAAGGUAACGGCUUACCAAGGCAACGAUGCAUAGCCGACCUGAGAGGGUGAUCGGCCAAACUGGAACUGAGACACGGUCCAGACUCCUACGGGAGGCAGCAGUAGGGAAUCUUCCGCAAUGGGCGAAAGCCUGACGGAGCAACGACGCGUGAGUGAUGAAGGUCUUCGGAUCGUAAAACUCUGUUAUUAGGGAAGAACAUAUGUGUAAGUAACUGUGCACAUCUUGACGGUACCUAAUCAGAAAGCCACGGAUAACUACGUG
rnacentral:rRNA from 1 species